UAUUUGUAUUUUUUAGGUCACCAGAUAACAAUAGCAAUUAUACUUCGCUGCCUAAUUAUAGAACUUGACUGACAGGAUGACAGAUUUUCAAAGGGAUGAGUAGUUAGUUGCAGAUGCCAAAAUAGAGGUUGCAUGAAGAGCCUUCUGGAAAUCAGAGCCACAUCACUGGAUCAGUUUUCCUUCUACUCUUUGUUGUCCCAAAGAUUUUUUAAAAGGUCACUGGAACCUUAGCAUGCAGGAUGGAUGAACUUGACAACAUACUGUCAGUCUCAGGAGGGGAAGUAGUGUUCUUAUUCUACUUUGAGAGAACUUAGAAAAAUUAGUGCAAGUAAACUUUGGACAUGUCUUUUCAACUGGCUUUCCAGCUGGACCCAAUCUCCUAGAUGUGGACUUGCUGGCCUUGCUAGUGCUACAAUCCCUUUGAAAGUGAAGUUGCCUAGUCAUAGAAAAGACUAUGUAAUGUAACAAUUCAAAUGAGUUGCUGUUAUUUCAGUAGCAAAUCAUGUUUAUUUAUUUGAGUGUUAAUAAUUCUCAACAUCUGAA